CCUACGGGAGGCAGCAGUGAGGAAUAUUGGUCAAUGGGCGCGAGCCUGAACCAGCCAAGUCGCGUGAGGGAAGACGGUCCUAUGGAUUGUAAACCUCUUUUGUACGAGGGUAAACGCAGAUACCUGUAUCUGUCUGACAGUCUCGUACGAAUAAGGACCGGCUAACUACGCGCCAGCAGCCGCGGUAAUACGGAGGAUCCAAGCGUUAUCCGGAUUUAUUGGGCUUAAAGGGUGCGUAGGCGGUCGGAUAAGUUAGAGUUGAAAUCCCGAGGCUCAACUUCGGAAGUGCCGCUGAUACUGUUCGGCUAGAGAGUAGUUGCGGUAGGCGGAAUGUAUGGUGUAGCGGUGAAAUGCGUAGAGAUCA
rnacentral:rRNA from 1 species